rnacentral:rRNA from 1 species
UCCCACAAUGAGGGCCGUGCAUAGGCAGGCUAACCCAAAAAACUGCCCAACCCCCAUAGUAGGGGUAAGUACAUUAAGCCACCUGGUGGAUGGCUCGGCUCGGGGCGC